rnacentral:rRNA from 1 species
GACGAACGCUGGCGGCGUGCUUAACACAUGCAAGUCGAGCGGUAAGGCCCUUUCGGGGGUACACGAGCGGCGAACGGGUGAGUAACACGUGGGUGACCUGCCCUCAGCUCUGGGAUAAGCCUGGGAAACCGGGUCUAAUACUGGAUAUGACUCCAUGACGCAUGUUGUGGGGUGGAAAGCCUUGUGCGGCUGAGGAUGGGCCCGCGGCCUAUCAGCUUGUUGGUGGGGUGANGGCCUACCAAGGCGACGACGGGUAGCCGGCCUGAGAGGGCGACCGGCCACACUGGGACUGAGACACGGCCCAGACUCCUACGGGAGGCAGCAGUGGGGAAUCUUGCGCAAUGCGCG